AUACGGAGGAUCCGAGCGUUAUCCGGAUUUAUUGGGUUUAAAGGGAGCGUAGGCGGGAUAUCAAGUCAGCUUGUGAAAUGUAGAUGCUCAACAUCUGCACUGCAGUCGAAACUGGUGUUCUUGAGUGCGUAAGAGGUAGGCGGAAUUCGUCGUGUAGCGGUGAAAUAGCAUAGAUAUGACGAAGAACUCCGAUUGCGAAGGCAGCUUACUGGGCCGCAACUGACGCUGAAGCUCGAAGGUGCGGGUAUC
rnacentral:rRNA from 1 species